AUGUACAGGCAGAACCCGCACUCCCCUUCUUCCUCCGCAUCCGCCGGCUCUGUCUCGACCACCGCUUCUACCGCCGCAGCCUCUGGGGGCGCCUCCUCUCGGCUGCCUCCAGCGCUGGACGACUCCUCAACGACGAUGUGGGGCUCCACGGCGGGAUCGACUUCGGACGCUACCGACGCCAUUGCAAAAUUUCUCGCACGAGAUUUGGUGGAUUUGGUUGGGAAAAGAAGUGUUUUGGGAGUCUCGGGGCGGCGGGCUCUGGUUUUUGUGGAGGAAGAAGCAGAGUUCGUCACGGUGACGGUGCCGCCGCCGCCGCCGCUGGUGAGAAGACUUGUCCUCGGACACGGAGAGGGGGUCUUUAGUGGGCCGGUGUCUUCGUGCUCUCGCGUUUCUCAAGAGGGCCGGAGCCCCGCCAAUAAGUAUCGGCCCGUUUAA
rnacentral:rRNA from 1 species